rnacentral:rRNA from 1 species
UACGUAGGGCGCAAGCGUUGUCCGGAAUUAUUGGGCGUAAAGAGCUCGUAGGCGGCCUGUUGCGUCCGCUGUGAAAUCCCCGGGGCUCAACCCCGGGCCUGCAGUGGAUACGGGCUGGCUGGAGGCAGGCAGGGGAGAACGGAAUUCCUGGUGUAGCGGUGAAAUGCGCAGAUAUCAGGAGGAACACCGGUGGCGAAGGCGGUUCUCUGGGCCUGUUCUGACGCUGAGGAGCGAAAGCGUGGGGAGCGAACAGG